GGCGCAGCCCGGCGGCGGGGAAGCAGGCCGGCGGAUAAUUACCCCUCGCUGCAAUCCGCAGAGCUGGCCUAAUCCGAAAGCUCAAGUGCCCGAUGAAGGCUGCAGCGAGGCACUAGCACGAGUUAGGACAACUGAGCUGCAGAGUGCACGAUGGAGGAACGGGGAAGAGAGCCGGGCUCCACUGCCGCCUUCUUGGCAGCGCAGUGGGUGACAAGAAUGCUCUCUGAUUUCCCCUCACAUCUCCCAGCAGCCAGAGAAAGGUCUGAUCAGAUGGUCUUCUACCACAACAGAGCGUUGCCGGACACCCAGCGAAGAAACGAUAAAGGUUUUAAACUUCCCCCCUCGCUCAACUUCUCCAGGCAGCGAGCAGAGAGGGCUUCGAGCCUGGAAACGCGGACGGGGUUUGGGGGAGACGGAG